rnacentral:misc_RNA from 1 species
CGUGUUCGUUUUAACUUUGCAAACGUCUACCAUCUUAUGUCAAGACGACGUAAGAUGGUGUCAAUUAAUUGUAAUAAUUCGAUGACAUUCGGAAAGCGGAAAAAGUCGUCACCUCAAAAAGAGACUUCCUAUUGAAGUUGGCAUGCCAAGGGAUUUUGAGAAAGACGGUCGAAAAUGGAAUAAUAAUAACCCCCGGUAUGUUUCCACUAUGGGCGAUGAUGCGUCAGAAGAAAAAGCGCAGGCGAGUGAAUGGAAAAUAGGGGUUUUCAAAGGGAUGCAGAAACCGGUGUGGAAUUAAAAGAAAGCUUUUCGAUGGAGAAGAAACCUUCGAACGGUGUUACAACGGAUGCGAUGGUUCAACCAUCAACUUCUUGCAAACCGGAAGUAUGUCAAGCGGCGAGAAUGAGGUUUUCGCUCCCAGAAAUGGCAACGGGAAGCCCAUGGCAUCGAAACAAGACAAUAUUUUUGGUCACCUUUCUUGUAGCUUUAGGAAUCUGGAUCGUAAUUUAUGUUACGCUCAGUCAACUCAAACUAUUGUGAUGUAACACAAAAAACAUAGUUGUUGAGAAUAAGAAGUGAAAGUUUUUAUUAUUAUUAAUAUACUCGAAACGUGAGAUUUUAAGAUUUUAUUAUAAAUAAUUGUAUU